UGAAAGGCAGUCACUACAUGCAUGUCGUACAAAAAACAUAAAUUGCUUGUUAAAAACAUGAGUUGAAGUCCUUCCUUUGUUCUGCCACAGACUCCUUGUACCUGUCUCUGUACCACUGUCCCUUCUGCAAUUAGAAAUGUUUGUAGGCAGUCACUAAUUCCUAGGAGUUGAAAAUGGCCUGCUGGAAUGAUCUGGUGCCUACUUGCCUUCUAGGCCCUGCCAGGCCUUUUCUCAGGAAAGCUGUGCCUGGAAACUUCCUAACAAACAGCGAACAUCCUCAGAGCUGUUAGUAGGAGGGAUGCUCUGUGGUAGUGACCGUAUCACUGUUAAGUUUAACACUGUGGUAAGGGGAAAGUAGGUUGUAUAGGUUCAGUGUGUGCAUACUCGAAUUUGAGGAAGGGAAUUGGAAGAACUGUGGGACAUUUUCACCACAGAUUCAGCAUGGAGAAUCAGACAGAAAUGAAUCUGUGCUGAACUCAGUAAGUUGGGAGGGCACGGGCUGAUAGGGCCUGGUGCAGGUGGAGCCCUGAGGUGGGCCUGGGCUCCGCGGCCCUGUCGGUGCUCGGGGCCUCGCCAGUUGAGUGAAAGCCAUUCUUGUGUUGUGCUGUGCUGCAAGGAGGAAGGGAGAGCAGAAUUUGGCUCAGGUGCAUCUGCAUCUGGGGAUAGAGGAGGCAGCCCAGAGGACUGGAAAAGAAUUUGGGCCUGAAUCUUGCACCACAGAUACUGCAGAGAAUUAGCUCUGACGGUCUCUGGAGGAACUUGAGAAGUGUGGAGGUUGGAAAUGAAUCAGUUAUGCAUCAGCCACAUUUUAUACUCUUGUCCUGAGACUAAAGCAGUUAUGGUCUGGGCUCCUGGUUCCAGAACUACAGUGAUGUGUUCCAAGUCUACAAUGGAGACAUCUUGGGAAUACUUACAAAGAACUCAGUCCAAACCUCACCCCACCGCACACAUCCACAGUGGCAUGAGGGAAAAGGUGAAGGAGCUUUGCCUGUGGGAAAUGGGAAGCAGAGUCCGUGUCGACAGGGAUGUAGCAUGCCAGCUUCCAAAGCAGCAUCCAUUUCACUCUCCUGAAGGCUUCCGGAAAAUUUUGCCACAUAAGCUUUAUUGUGUAUGAUCCCAUUCAAGGUGUAAAGUAAAUAUAUAAUUAAUAAGUGUAACUAAUCAGCAGAAUACUGUUUUGAGUCUUGGGAAUGAAAUUUUCUUCUCUCUAUCUCACUGUUUAGUUUAUGCAUCAUGCUGUAUCACCCAGGCACUCCUCUGAAGGAGCAGGGCUGCAUGUGUCAAAGAGCAGGCUCAGCCUCAGCAAGGGGGCAAGAAUCAGGCUGCUGUGAGUUCACUCCAGUCACAGCCAGUUAGUCCCUGUUAAAUCAUCUCUAACUAUGGAGACAAUGAGGAAUUCUGUGGGAGAAAAACUUUCAGCUGUGCCUCAAUUCCUGCAGAGAGCAGGAUUUAAUGCUUUCAGUUGGAAGGUCACCCACGUAUUUUCCCGAGUGCAUACAUCAGCUGGUUUGGAAGACAGCACUUUACUAAUUGUUAGUGAUUGUCCUCCUUGCAGGACUAGCUGUUAUAUAGAGCUCAGCUUGUUCUUCAGUUUGAUCUGAUUAGUUCACAUUCAUUCUAUGUCCUACUCACCAGCGUGUCAACUUAGAGCACUGAUUCAUUUAAGUCAAAAUUGGUCAUCAUAUUUAUUUAACUACUAAGUUAUUUUCCAUAGUAAAUCCAUAAUACUUGGCUAGUAUUGGCAGAAAAUUUGUUAACCUAAUUGAAAGUGACACACAUUUUAGGCUUACAGUCUUAGUAGGAAUGUAUAAUAUGUUAAGGAGUAAGGUCUUUAAGGAAAUUAUUGACCUGGAUCACACUCGUUCCUAUACUGUAACUUCCUAUCUAUCAAAUGAAAACAUCAAAAACAAACACACCCACAGUUCAGAGCUACUAGUCCAGGCAAACUACAACUAACUUCUUUUAACAUGGAUAAGAAAAAAUGUUUUAAUAUUUUAUGUCAACAUUUCCCAUAGGCUGCUUCUUCCUGUAUUUAAUAUAUAUGAAUGGCGUUUUCCCUCUUGUUUCUCUUGGAGUGCUGAACUUUACUGUCACUUCCACAAAGAAAGGUUAUUUUUAUUUAUUGAGUACUUUAUAUAGAAACAGGAUAUUUAUACUUGUAUAUAUCUAUAUCUUA